AUUGAACGCUGGCGGCAGGCCUAACACAUGCAAGUCGAGCGGAUGAAGGGAGCUUGCUCCUGGAUUCAGCGGCGGACGGGUGAGUAAUGCCUAGGAAUCUGCCUGUUAGUGGGGGAUAACGUCCGGAAACGGGCGCUAAUACCGCAUACGUCCUGAGGGAGAAAGUGGGGGAUCUUCGGACCUCACGCUAUCAGAUGAUCCUAGGUCGGAUUAGCUAGUUGGUGGGGUAAAGGCCUACCAAGGCGACGAUCCGUAACUGGUCUGAGAGGAUGAUCAGUCACACUGGAACUGAGACACGGUCCAGACUCCUACGGGAGGCAGCAGUGGGGAAUAUUGGACAAUGGGCGAAAGCCUGAUCCAGCCAUGCCGCGUGUGUGAAGAAGGUCUUCGGAUUGUAAAGCACUUUAAGUUGGGAGGAAGGGCAGUAAGUUAAUACCUUGCUGUUUUGACGUUACCAACAGAAUAAGCACCGGCUAACUUCGUG
rnacentral:rRNA from 1 species